UCCUCCGUGGCGCAAUUGGCUAGCGCGUCUGACUGUUAAUCAGGAGGUUGAAAGUUCGAGCCUUUCCGGGGGAG
rfam:Metarhizium majus ARSEF 297 Scaffold_31, whole genome shotgun sequence.